rnacentral:misc_RNA from 1 species
CUGCUGGGCGCCGACCAUGGAGAUGAGGAGCAGGGGCGCCAUGGAAGGGAGAGGUGGACGAGCUGUUGCUCGCCGUGGAGCAGGGGAGAGGCGCUGCUGCUGUUUGUGAGAGCUGGAGCUUGGGAGAGGGAGAGCAGAGGCGCUGCGCGGGGAAGAAGGGCGCCAUGGCUGGGGCAUCGAGCUUCAUCCCUGAGCAGGGCGUCGGCCCCAGGGGAACUGCUCCCUGCUCUUGCUGCUCGCUGGAGGAAGAAGAAGAGGGACUGCUGGGGAGGGGAUGAGCUGGGCGCUCGGCUGCUGGGCAGCCAUGGGAGGAAGGGAGCCGAGCUCCCUGCGCUGCGCUAG